rnacentral:lncRNA from 1 species
CAGAGGCAAGUCUCCUGCCCCACGAGGACAACCAGAUUCACCUGCAGCAUCCCGUGGUCUAGCAGGUGGGAGGAUCUUGCUUGUGUAGCAGCAGCGAAGAGAAGGAUUCUAGGAAUCUCAGAGGCAAAAGGUUUUCUGCAGUUCACGUUUUUCCGAACCUGUGGUUUCUCUGAGCUGACUCUCCUGAUGGAAGUUAAUCAGAACUAGUCCAUGACUUCUCUUUUAUUACACCCAAAGACCUAAGGGAUGGGCAAAUCAGAGUGGAAUUUUACCGGGAACCCAAACACUGGAGAGUGG